UAUGUGUGUAUGCGAGAAAGAAAAGGGUGUUCGAUGCUGUUGAUGUAUGCGAAGGCGGAGGUGAGGUUGGUGAGAACAGAAGGGGCAAAAAUGACAAAGCAAAUUCCAACACAGAGGAUUUGUGCAAAAACCAAAAGAAGAGGCGCGUUAAUGAAGAGACGUUGCUGUACACGGAAAAUCAUAAGGGUAUUAAGGCAAAAGAAUUGGAAAAAAUUAAGCAAGCAGACGCAAUUGGUGCAACUUUAUACAAAAUUACCUUUGAGACAAUGGAAGCGGCAAAUAUGUUCAUUUGCAAUGAAGAAAUAAAGAAACUGAAUAUGCGAGUUUUUAUUCCGAAAAAUUUUUUUCAAACUUUCGGAAUUUUAAGAAAUAUACCUGUUUCAUAUUCCGAAGAUGAACUCCUCAAAGGGAUUGUGUCGGAUAGGAAGGUAGCCUCUGUGACUAGGUUCACAAGGAAAGAUGGUAGUACUGAAUCAGGUUUUAGACCCACUGAGACAAUCAAGGUUGGUUUCUACGGGGAUAACCACCCCUCAUGGGUAGUGUUCAAUCACGUUGUUCUUGUGGUGGACACUUAUUAUCCAGCCAUCAGGCAAUGUUUCAACUGCGGGCGCUUGGGACAUACAAAGCUUGGCUGCAGAUCUAAUCCCAGAUGCCGUAAAUGCGGUAAUGAAGAUUGCAAUAUGACUUGUACCAUCAGAAGCUGUAUUUUGUGUAAAGGAUCUGAUCACGUAUGUGAUGAAAGGAAUAAAUGUCCAGUCUGGGCAAAAGAAAUUGAAAUCAACAAAAUUAUGACUCGAAAAAAGAUGUCCAAAAAAGAAGUUUUAAAUUCUUAUAAACUUCAAAACAGAUUUGACCUAUCAUAUGACGAAGCAAACUUUCCCUCUCUCCCAGCAGGCAGUGGUAGUUGUGUGGGAAGGGAAGAAAGUCCAAAAAUUAAAACAAUCGAUGAUGACGUUAAUGAGGUGUUGACACCAUAUACAUACAACUCUGUGGCAAAAAAACCCAAAAAACCGUACAUCCAUAGACCUGGGGUCAAAA
rnacentral:sRNA from 1 species